rnacentral:rRNA from 1 species
AUUGAACGCUGGCGGCAGGCCUAACACAUGCAAGUCGAGCGGAUGAAGGGAGCUUGCUCCUGGAUUCAGCGGCGGACGGGUGAGUAAUGCCUAGGAAUCUGCCUGGUAGUGGGGGAUAACGUCCGGAAACGGGCGCUAAUGCCGCAUACGUCCUGAGGGAGAAAGUGGGGGAUCUUCGGACCUCACGCUAUCAGAUGAGCCUAGGUCGGAUUAGCUAGUUGGUGGGGUAAAGGCCUACCAAGGCGACGGUCCGUAACUGGUCUGAGAGGAUGAUCAGUCACACUGGAACUGAGACACGGUCCAGACUCCUACGGGAGGCAGCAGUGGGGAAUAUUGGACAAUGGGCGAAAGCCUGAUCCAGCCAUGCCGCGUGUGUGAAGAAGGUCUUCGGAUUGUAAAGCACUUUAAGCUGGGAGGAAGGGCAGUAAGUUAAUACCUUGCUGUUUUGACGUUACCAACAGAAUAAGCACCGGCUAACUUCGUG